AUCCUCUAGGAGCUGAAGCUGCCAGCAUGAUCUGAUGAGUGUUUAGGUAGUUGACCGCAGCAAUGAUGACCGAAACUACUAACGAUCAGAUCAUGCUGAGCAGUUUCAUCUGCUCGUGGC
rnacentral:pre_miRNA from 1 species